UACGGAAGGCAGCAGUGGGGAAUAUUGCACAAUGGGCGAAAGCCUGAUGCAGCUAUGCCGCGUGUAUGAAGAAGGCCUUAGGGUUGUAAAGUACUUUCAUCGGGGAGGAAAAAACAAAACUAAUAAUUUUAUUUCUUGACGUUACCCGAAAAAGAAGCACCGGCUAACUCCGUGCCAGCAGCCGCGGUAAUACGGAGGGUGCUAGCGUUAAUCAGAAUUACUGGGCGUAAAGAGCACGUAGGUGGUUUUUUUAAGUCAGAUGUGAAAUCCCUGGGCUUAACCUAGGAACUGCAUUUUGAAACUGAAAUACUAGAGUAUCGUAGAGGGAGGUAGAAUUCUAGGUGUAGCGGUGAAAUGCGUAGAUAUCUGGAGGAAUACCUGUGGCGAAAGCGGCCUCCUAAACGAAUACUGACACUGAGGGUGCGAAAGCGUGGGGAGCAAACAGGGAUUAGAUACCCG
rnacentral:rRNA from 1 species